CGGCGGCGGCGGCGGCGGAGGAGGAGGAGGAGGAGGAGGCGGCCGGGGCCGGGGCGCCGGGGCCGCGCUGCUCGGGCGCCAGCACCGUAUCAGGUCACAUUCCGAGCAUCCGAGUGGACGUGAACUCUGGCGGACGCCGUUCAACUCCCACCUGGGGGUAGAGCGUGGCAUAGAGAACCUGAUGGCAGGAGGGGUGCCUGACGGAGGGAGCGGAGAAAGAGGACGGUACAGGAUCGAAAGCACAAGGAGAGGACCAGACUUGACCAAAGACGACAUUCCACUGGCAGUCUCAGCUGCAAACGGGAGCAGAAAGGUGAAGGAAGACACGACGAGGGUAAGAAGGCAGGUUGGAGGAUCCUUCAGCCGGUCGGUGAGCUGUCUGCUGAGACAUCAUGCGGGGACACCCUUGGGCUGGACGGGUUAACAAGUAAAGCUGAGGCUUGAAACACCGCCUGGGAGUAAGUGACAAUGUGUGACCCCAUGUUGAGCAGCAGCGAGGGUCUGGCUGAGGCUCUGGAAGGCCAUUCCUUGAAAAGAACUUUGCUGAGUGAGUACAUUGACAAAACCAGCCUGCCCCGCUUGGUCAAACGCUGAACUGGACGAGGAAAUCUCAGGACAGGUCAUUCAUCUUUGAAACUACUCGUCUCAUUAAAGAAAACAACACCUAAGCACCACAUUCAGCGAUUCAACCAAUCUAACAUUUGGUGGGUUUUAUAUUUAGGGCCAAAAACCCAUUUCUAACAAAUCCAGCCCCGCAUUCAAAUCAUUUCCAGAUCUGCAGACUUGGGGGUGAGCUUUACGAGUUACAGUGAAACCAAGAGACCUUGGAGGCCGGAGUGGGGUGGCUGUGUUCUCCAACCCGAUGUGGAAUGACAGAGAGGUAUCCUCUCCGAUGGCUGGGCAAAGAAAGUCAUCUCAGCAGGUGGCUGCACCCCUGGAACUGGAUGUGCCCGGGAGAGCUCGGGGCCGCUGCAAAUCAGACCGGUCAUAGUGUCCAUCCGUAAACAGAUUCUGUCAGAAUCUCUGCCGUGGGGUCCACCUGCGUGGGAGGGAGAAUCAGCAGGGAGCAGACGGGGUGGGGGGGGGGGGGAAUCCUACGUUCGUAUUUCAGAUUCAGACAACCCUCCCUUCCCUGCCCCAAGCUUCACCGUCCAACGCGGAGAUGGGCAAAGGCCAGAACAGACUAGAGAGCUCGCAGAC